rnacentral:lncRNA from 1 species
CAAUGCUUGAAAAGGAUAAAUAGACACCAGGAGGGCAGGGGCCAACCUCACGGCCCGUGAGGCGCUGAACCGUGCUGAGGCACUUUAAGACCUGCAGUGCCCCACCCCAACUGUUAAUGAGCUCAUUAACAGCCACUGCCCCUCUCUCCCUCAUAUCCAGCUCGGGGCAGUGGGGUUCAGAGUGAGGAGGGAUCACUUCGCUGUGAAGAGCUGUGUGGACGGGAGUCUGCCCAGGAGCCCAGGGAUGAAGGAAAUCUUGGACAUCUUUUGUUGUGUCACCACUUGUUAUCUGCUGCUAGCUGGUGUCGGGGGACUGAAAGACAAGAUAACUGACAUGCAGAAGGUUAUUAUAGCUUGAAUUGAGAGACUGGACUACUGAACAACUAUUGUCAUCGAAACAUACAGGAGUAAAGUAUGCUGUGAGCAAAGCACAAGCCAUGUACAAUACUUCAUUCAAUUGUCUUACAUUCUAAAAAUAUGUCAGGAAAAAGGGGGAAGGAACAUUAUUUCAGCAUGCAAUAAAUUAUGCAGAUUUCCCUUUGGAGGCUAUUGUGUUGUUGUUUUUUUUCUUUUCUAUACCAAAAUUGUUUAUUUUAAAGAGAACUCAGCAAAAUGAUACACACUUAGAAGACUUGUUCUCUACCACAUGAGAUUCAUCUCCACAGUAAUGAUCUGGUGCCACUGGUCCCUGUGCAUCUGGAUGUAAAGUAGUGAAUUAUGGAGCACAGCAACACUUCUUGUUUUAUGUUAAGUAUUUCAAAAGGGUUCUUGGCUAUUCAUUGUGGGGUGGGAUAUUGUAGUAGGUGGCUUUGAGCCUGGUAAACAUGUAUUACUUAUCCUUUAGAUAUGGUUUAAAGAGUAACAUCUUGUUUUCCUUUCACUGCAAUAAAAAUAAAGUACCAAAGGGUUCUUCUGGGAUUUUCCCUGGCUGCCAGACUAAUUAACCAGUGUGGUACUCUUUGUAUCAUGACUUUCAACUUUACUGAUUAUAUUUAUCAAGGAAGAUCAGCAAAAGGAUUUUCUGUUGUUUUAUUUUGAGGCUUUUUCUUACUUAAUUGAGUGAGGUGCAAAUUAGAUAAGUUCUGGUUUGGGUUGUCUGCCUCCAUCUGCAUGCAAAGAUGUGUAUUCUCUCACCUCUCUGCCGCUCCUCCUGGUAAUCCACUGUUCACUUUCAUUAAUCUUGCUAAAUCCUGUUCCGUGCGGCCUAGAACCAAACAGAUUCACUAAUGGAAGUUCAGAAAUACAUCUGUUUGUGUGAGCAUGGAAAGUGAAGGGGAGACAUAACCAUAGCAGGAAAAGGAUCGACAACUGACCUGCAAAGAGGAUUCCAUUAAUGAAAUUGAGAGAAACCAGUGUGGAAAAUGGCAGUGGUUGAGUUUCAGGCCUUACAGAGAUGAGUCCCAGAGCAGUUUCAAAUGUGCUGUGAGCCUGAGGAGGAUGGUUUGGAUGCUUGAAGCUGGUGGUGUGAUGUGCUGUUCCAUUAAGAGUUCAUUUUUGAGUGCAUUCAUGUGCUCAUGGUGUGCUGCGAGCAUGGCAGGUGGCUGCCUGUGUUCUGCUUGUGCUUGGUUGUGCGUGUGUCUGUAAGGGUGUGAAUCACCCUGCCAACAGAAAAUAAAAUGCUGGCAAAUAUUUUAAGAGCCUCUCGUGGAGUAUGGACUGUCCAAACUCUCAGGCACAACUGGAAGCUAUAUUCCACCAAUAUACAAUUCGUUUGCAUACCAGUAUCCCUAAAACACCACAUACACUGCUGUUAAAAGCUUAUCAUUUAUUAUACUCCAGUUUGUGGACAGUGCUGUGGUGACUCCAUUUUUUUUUUUUUCCCUUUUACUGCAGUAGGCAACAGAAAUAAACAGCCACAAUGAACCAUCUAAUUCUGGAGUAGAUUGUGUGAUACCUUUACCCUUACUGAAUUGUCUGUGAUGAAUCCCAAGUUAUAACAUAAACAUAGCAGUGAAAGCAUGGAGGAGCUUCAGGUGUGAAAUACAUUUGCAGGAACUCAGUUUGCCCCCACAAGUUUUUUUGACAGAAGAGCUCACUGUAGUUUAUUUCCUACCUCAGUGGUUUGCAAUCUAGUAAGGGACUCAUCCUGCCAAACCACAAGGCAUAAACAUUUUCCUUCUUGUUAAAUCUCUCCAGAUAGCACCACACCAUCCACACAAUCUUAGCAUCUGCCCGAUAAUAUACACACACUAAUUCUUGGAAAGGUCACUUCUGCUCAAAUGUUAAUUAGAUGUUGAUGUUGUUAAAGUGUAAAUAGGCUAAAAAAUUUACCUAGAAAAAAAUCUGUUUCUUGAUAUCAUUGUAAGUAACUGUAUUUUCUUUAUGGGUUAUCUAUAUCUAUCUAUCUAUCUAUCUAUCUACCUACCUACCUACCUACCUACCUAUCGGUAUUAUAUGCAUUUCAAAGCUUAAUGAGGAGAAGGAUUUAUUAUUAUUGUUAGCUUAUUUUCUUCUUCUCAACUUCCUGCUCACAAAGAAAGAAGGCUCAUAAAUUUAGGAAGAACCUAAGUGCUCACUGUUAAUCAUGAAUUUAACUUCUUGUAAUCACCAACUUAAACCCUGCUUAAUAAACUAAAAAUGUUAAUAAUCUGGAAAAGGGAAAUUAAAACAAUUAAAGAUUAUUAGCUAAAUAGCCAAAGAGCAGAGGGCUUCUGCAUGGAAAUGUAUGCAGGAUAAGGAUUGCAAAUCCCAGAUGAUGAAGGAAGCUUAGUUAUUCUUUCAACUUUACUCCUCAAUCCUUCCCUAAUUCUCUGUAUAACAGUCUGGAUUUUUCUUGAAAUUAAUUGUUUUAAUUAUGGCAAAUGGCUUGAAUGGCUUCUAUGUGAGAAAAGAAUUAAAACUGUGGAUGGUUUAGUGUGGAGAGGGGACAUAAAGAGGGCACACGAUGGAGCUAUACAAAUAAUGAAUUGCCUAUACAGAAAGUAAAUCUGGUGCUUUCACUUAUCAUUUCUUAUAAUACAAGAACCAGGGGACUUAUAAUGAAACCGAAAGGCAGCAAAAUUAAAACCAUUAAAGAAAAUAAGUAUUUACACAAAUGCAUAAUUAACCUGUGGAAUUAAUUCCCACAAGAGUUCAGUGGAGCCAAGAGCUUAGUGGGGUUCGGAAAAGGAUUAGACAUUUAUAUGGAUAAUGGAAACGCCUGUAGUGGGGUUGGUUGGAGCGAGGAGUAUAAAGGGAACGCGGGACUGCAGCUCCUGCUGAGGACAGUGGCAGUGAGAUGAAGUGUAUAAAGACUCAGGCAAACUGCACUGGCGAAUCAUGGACUGACACGGGGAGGAGGAAAAUGCCUAAGGUGCUGCCAUGCAGAAGAUGCUAAGAUGACAAAAGCAUGGAGCAAGCUCUCUUAAGAGCUCUGCUAGUGAAGGAAACAUCACGACUUCCAUUGGAGGCCAACAACCCCAGCCUAUGCCAGCUCUCACCAUCAAUGUUAUUACUUAUUUGUGAACUUACCAGUCAGCAGAGGGAAAAUUAGGUUAACCUAUGGCAGAAUGGCUGUCAAGUCACCUGAGCAUUGGGUUGUUCCGUGAGCAAGGCAUUUUCUUCAAGUUUCUAUUUCAGAGUUUGGAAACUUUGAAGUCUCCUUGUGUUAAUGCUGCACAAAUGAAGAAAAGCACAUUGGAAUUGUUUCAGAGGCUGACACACAGUCACACAAAUGGGGGAAAGGGGAGAUACACACAAAAAGAAUGGUGGUAUCUCCAGCUGCAUUCAAUGUACCUUUUGAGUUGAAACAUUCAGCCUUGUCUGUAGGGUGUUCAAUGACAGAACGCACCAAGACUUCAGUCAGUAGUGCUGUUUCACAUCCUUUCGUCCUUCUGGGUCUGCUGUCCUUAUGUGCAGUGUAUGUAUGUCCUUAUAUUACCUGAGUCUAUAUCGAUGUAAGAAAUCACUAAAUGCAAGCACUUAGACCUAAGAUAAUUAGCUGGUUAGAAUAUGUGAAGGUAUACAAAAAACCCUUCAGACCAUGCUGAAAUUGUACUUCAAAAUGUUUGGUUGUUUUUUUUUUGCCUAAUGUUAGUAUAAUAUUUUGCAUGUAUUAUUUGCAUAACCACAUGUUCUUUUGAGUAAUGCUGUUAAAUGGGGUAUUUAAGGGAGGACUUGAUGAUAUGUUGGCAGGAAUAUUUUCUGUUAGGUACAGAAUAUUUACAGUUCAUUAACAGACCCUCUCUAUAAAUAAUACAUAGGUAGGUACCAAUCCUAAGUGACACAGUUGGUUGCAUGUCACAGUACUCUGUCUGCUCUGUCUGAGCAAUUUAAGAGCUGUUUUUCCAUACAGCCCCUUUUUGCAUUAGCAGUCAUCCAGCCACUUGUCACCAGGAGAAGCAUGCUUCAGAUUUGUAUAUAAAGGCUGCUGAAACCCAGAACAACCCAGUUGUCACUUUUUCCCCUCUUACAUCACCAGAGAUUGUUUGCAGGAUCAGAGGGAGGCAGAAAAGACAGACAUAAGCAGGUGUAAUUCUGAAAAAAGUGCCAGUCACAAUAAGCAGUUUGUCAUCGUUUUCUUUUUAGCUUUUAUUGCUGAUUUAGUCAUCUUGAGUUUUCUGAGUCCCAGCAGAAAAGUGGAACAUCUUUAAUGGUGUCUGUCACCCAGAGGGAGUAACCUAGAAGCACAGAAGGAAGUGGGAUGUUUCAUCCUUGUGCUCCCACUGGAAAGAAUGAUCCCUCUGGCCCCUCUCCUUGCAUUCUGUCCAUGCAGAAUGGAUUUUCUGAGUGGAAAUGGAGUGUAAAUCCGGUAACAAACUUUGCUCUUUGCUGACAGGCAGUGCCAACUGGAUCUCUGAUUUAGUCAGUGGGGUCAAGUGAAAGCACUGGGCAAGCUGACCACAAUCCAUGGAUUAUGGUGGCCCAAGUCCAUCCCUGAAGUGGUCAGGCAGUUAAACUUGAUAUUCGUUGUAAAUCCCCUUCCAAACAAACUAUUCUACUCCAUUCCAUUCAUUAGUAUUAUACCCAAGAUUUCUUCAAUGGUUCAAAAACUAAAGAAUAAACAAGGUGAAUAAAACUAUCCUUAUGGGGAAAAAAAGAAAUUAUUUCACAUAAGAUAUAAGGUGUUAGUUAUGCAAGAGUUACAGAAGAAAUAGGACAAGGAUACAAGAAUGGGGUAGCUAUCCAAGAGUUCAAAGGUAGGCAGCUGAUCAAAGGUUAAAUACAAAAAGAAAUUAUUGUAUUCAAGUUGAAGAUAGGACACGUUAACCUAAAUAGAUGUU